rnacentral:rRNA from 1 species
GACGAACGCUGGCGGCGCGCUUAACACUGCAAGUCGAGCGAGAACCAGGCCUUCGGGCCUGGGGACAGCGGCGAACGGGUGAGUAACACGUGGGUAAUCAACCCUCGAUACUGGGAUAGCCCGGGGAAACCCGGAUUAACACCGGAUGGCCCUUUGGAUCCUCGGAUCUGAAGGAAAAGGUAGCUUCGGCCUUCGAUCGAGGACGAGCCCGCGGCGGAUUAGCUUGUUGGUGAGGUAACGGCCCACCAAGGCGACGAUCCGUAGCUGGUCUGAGAGGACGAUCAGCCACACUGGGACUGAGACACGGCCCAGACUCCUACGGGAGGCAGCAGUGGGGAAUCUUGCGCUAAUGCGGGAAACCGUGACGCAGCGACGCCGCGUGAGGGAAGAAGGCCUUCGGGUUGUAAACCUCUUUCAGGAGGGACGAAGCCACUCGGGUUAAUAGCCCAGAGGGUGACGGUACCUCCAGAAGAAGCCCCGGCUAACUACGUGCCAGCAGCCGCGGUAAUACGUAGGGGGCAAGCGUGUCCGGAUUUAUGGGGCGUAAAGAGCGUGUAGGCGGCUAGAUAGGUCGU